UGGAAUAUAUUAACAUAGUUUUUUAUUCUUAUUUUCUCAGUUUUUCACCACAUCCUGUUUUACAACGUUCUUUGGAUUUCUGAAUGAUAUUCUACAAGUAUUCUGCCUUUCGAAUAAUUUAUUUUUAAACCGUUCCAGUAAGUUAUCCAGAUACUUGACUGUCAGGACUGGGAUAAAGAAUACGAGAAUUUUAACAAAAAUUUCAAAAUCAAUCAUGAAUUUUGAAGUUGCAAGAAAACUGCAAGGCCAGAAGCGUUUUGAGAGGAAGUUGUAACUUCACUUUGACGAAGAUUGACAACUUCUCGAUAAGCCUAUGUUUUGCAGAUGAAAAAUUAAUUAAAAACCGCAACUGAGUUGACUGGUUUUGGCCAAACGGAAACUAUUUCAUCCUAUUGGUUUUCACUUUUGAUGAAAUUUGGUUUUUCCUCAUUGCAAAACAAUAUGGAGAUUCUGGGACAUUCCAAAAACAAGCCUUAGGUAAUUCUCCUUCCAGAAGUCGUCUUUACUUUGCCUAUGUGCAUACUACUAAAAAAAAAAAAAAUCUGAUGUGUACACCACAUGACUUCCUUGUACGGAAUAUUAAAUUAUACGCAUUUUUUCUUGCA